rnacentral:misc_RNA from 1 species
CUCUCGCCUAGGUUCAUAGCUGCCAUUUGCAUUUUUUUUUUUUUUUUUUUUCACUUUUCCCCUUGUUCAAUCUCACAAUCCAUCAUUUUCUUUAAUCAAUCAUUGCACACCACCCUCGCUGACAACAACAAAUUUAAUAACGAGGCUAAAAUAUCCAAAGGAAGACCCUGAGGAACACCAAAAUAAUAACAGUUGUUGAAUCAUUAUCGUGGCAAGAAAAAUCUGGUAAACAUGAAAAAGAAUAAAGUGCAUAAU